AGGAUGCCCCGCGGUCCUUGGGUGCUGACGUCACGAGGGAGGGCGGUCCCCCAUUUGAUGAAGUUAACCGUGCUGUAUAAAAGAGCGCCAGCAACAGAGGCCGGUUAGUUUAUCUCAGGCUCGGCCUGGGUUUGCUGAGUCCGAGAAGGUGACCGUGGUGGCCCUUUUGAGGUGACCAUAGCCGCCGAGGAGCAUAAGUGCGCACUGAGGCGGCCACAGUCGCUAAGAAGGUUGCCAUCGCGACGCGGCCGCUGUAGGGUUUUGCUUCCGGGUUAGGCGGCCGCCGAAGCGUAGACGGAGUAGCUGGAGCGCCUCUUCCGGUUAGCUUUUCCCAGUGCCAGAGGCGCCUGGGGUUGGGGUCUUCGCUCAGGGACAGAGACCUGACAGCGAGCGGCGGCUUCCCCGGGAUCGAGGGACGCGCACGCCAGAGGAGACGAAAGGAACCCGGGUCGGACCAGAUCGGAACCACUGACCAUUGCCCAUGGCGGCCCUAGGCCCUAGCAGCCAGAAUGUCACUGAAUACGUCGUUCGAGUUCCCAAGAAUACAACCAAAAAAUAUAACAUCAUGGCUUUUAAUGCAGCCGAUAAAGUCAACUUUGCUACAUGGAAUCAGGU